rnacentral:rRNA from 1 species
CCUACGGGAGGCAGCAGUGAGGAAUAUUGGUCAAUGGGCGCGAGCCUGAACCAGCCAAGUAGCGUGAAGGAUGACUGCCCUACGGGUUGUAAACUUCUUUUAUAAAGGAAUAAAGUGAGGCUCGUGUGCCUUUUUGUAUGUACUUUAUGAAUAAGGAUCGGCUAACUCCGGUCCGGCAGCCGCGGUAAUACGGAGGAUCCGAGCGUUAUCCGGAUUGGUUGGGUUUAAAGGGAGAGUAGAUGGGUUGUUAAGUCAGGUGUGAAAGUUUGGGGCUCAACCGUAAAAUUGCAAUUGAUACUGGCAGUCUGGAGUACAGUUGAGGUAGGUGGAAUUCGUGGUGUAGCGGUGAAAUGCUUAGAUAUCACGAAGAACUCCGAUUGCGAAGGCAGCUAACUAACCUGCCACUGACAUUGAUGCUCGAAAGUGUGGGUAUCAAACAGGAUUAGAUACCCUUGUAGUC